CAUAGUGCAAUUCACCACAGGUAAUGAGUUCCUGGAGCUCCCUGGUUAGGGUUCCUUGGCUCGGUGUCUCCUGAGUAACCCAGGUGACAACAGCUGACAAUUGCAUUAAUAGGGACAGCAAGUCCUAAAUCAAUCCAGAGCAAAAGUGGAAGAUGCAGGAGAUAUCUGAUGCUCUCUGCAGUUGUGUGCUAAAUACACUGAUAAUAAUCCUAAAUAUCUACAUCUUGAAGUAUUAACUUGUAUCAGAGAAUCCUGGAAUGUUCUGGAAUGGGACGGACAUUAAAGCUCAGCUCAUUCCACUCCCUGCCAUGGGCAGGGACAUCUCCCACUGUCCCAGGCUGCUCCAAGCCCUGUCCAUCCUGGCCUUGGACACUUCCAGGGAUGGAGAAUACAUCCAGUAGGAUGGCAAAGUCAAACAUUUUUCCUCUUCUUGCCCAGAAAAAGGAAUGGCUGGGAAGAAGCAAGGCAGGGACAAACAGACACAUCAAGAGGUUUCAGCAGGCAGUGCCAAACCUGGCAGCCCCAACCCUAUGGCAAACAAGGCUCUCAGCACCUGGCCACAGCUCCACAUCAUUUUAAAAAGUGCACAAAGUCCAAGUUCUUAUUCAGCUAUUGUGGGUAUAUUAAAGGUUUGCAGAAAACACAAAAGUUGUGCUUUGCUGCUGGUUUUGUUAGAAUGCAGGAAAAUGCCUUUAACACACAACAGUUCCUUGCACUACAUCUGCUCUGUGAGAGUCUGCUGGGCUUUUUAAGUCACAAUAUUGAAAUGAUAGUGGGUUUAACACUUUCCAAAGGCUUUCAAGUCUGAAUAGUUCAGACCUGAAGUAAGUCUUCCCUUAGGGAUUUAAUGUAUUUAAUUAUCUCUGCAGUUUUAUCCAUCAUAAUAGUUAAGUGAAAUCAUUGCUCUUGUUUAGAACAAAGGGAAGCCAAACAUAUAAAUCAAUAUUUGAUUUUUUAAAGUUAUUUACUGGAGUAACAUAUGACAGACAUUGAAACAGUAAAAGAAUUCCCAAUAAUUAUUUUUUUACAAAAUAACAACUUACCAAAAGGGUAUUUUAAAACAACAAAAUUCAAGACUAAUUAGCUGAGAGAAAUGGAAAUGUCAGAAGCAUGGUGGGAGAGGCAGAAAGAUGAACAACAGAGACUUGUAAUUACUUCUGCAUUACUUUUGUGGGAUUAGUUAAGACUUGACUGGUCAGUGCUUAUAUAAAAACGAUCUUGAACUCACCUCAAGAUGCAAAAGACCUUCACAAAAGCCCAGAGCAGUGAAACCAUUUUGUGAGUGUUUUUCCACUGGGAACUUCAUACUGGUUUCCUUUGUGGUCACAUCUUUGUGCAAUCUCUGGAGUUCAGAGAGGGCUUGGGGACAUCAAUUGUUUUCCAGUUCUAUCUUUCAGCAAACCACAGCAUUCCUCCACCAAGGUGCACAAAACUAUGGAUCCAAUGUGAAUUGUGUAUUGUGAAUUGUGAAGUGUAAAUACAGGUGGUAUUUGGGGCAUUACAUCAAAGCUGCAGAACACAUCUAUUUACUUUAUUAUAUCCCUAAACUUAGUUUUACAUUGCAUGUAUUUCCAGUCAUCCCAUUAAAUACACAGUCAACAAGGGAUACAAUUUGAAUAAUUUCUCUACAAGACAUUAAAAAAAAGGAUUAAUUCUCAAGCUCAUUGAUUAAUGCUUUGCCUCUUGGCACGGAUCCCUCUUUCCCUCCUUGAAGUGGUGGUGCUUGGAGGUGUUGCCACUGCAGCUAGAGCUGGGGAAGGGUUCUGCCAGGCUGGCAGGGCUCCCACUCCAUCAGGGGAGUCAAUUCUGGCACAGAAGUGAGGGAACAAAUCUGAGAAUGUGGCCCCAAAUCCUGCCGGAUCUGAAAGCCGUCCUGCAGCACCUGGAAUUCCUGUGUCCUCCCUCCGGCUUCUGGGACACUCGACAUCAGCAGGGCCCCACCCUGCUCAGACAGACAAAGGCAAUGCCACUCCUCUGAUAAGGAAAUUCGAAGCGUUUCCUUGGAUUUAUCAGCUCCCAGUGUUUCCUGGCCUAAGGAGUUUUUGCCCAUGUAGGGUGAAAUCUGACUCUCAUCUCCUGUGCUAUUGCAAAGGAUACAAGGACAAAGCAUUACCCCACAAAUACAGUGUGGAGAGGUUUGAUAGAAACUAGGAAAUCAGCAUUUAAUUCUGCUGGAUGUGACUAUUGCUGACAACAGGGGAAUAAAACCUUUAUGAAGAAGAUUCAUAGGGAAUCCCAAUUUACAAAAAAUAAAAUUAAAGCAUAGGGAAGAAAACAACUUGUACAUCUUCCCAAGGGGAACCAGGACUCCUCGGGGAAUAAAGUCCAAGAGCCCAAAUCACAAAAUCCCUGUUAGAGGUCAUUCAUUUGGUAAACAUCAUGGUAAGCAACAAAUGGUAACCAGAAUCUAUUCCAGUUGUGCAUUGGGUAUCAGGUACAGCCAGGUGUGCAUCCAGACUGGCAUUCUCCCUCUUUACUGUGGAGAGGGUGCAGGGAGGACCAUAAACCUGAGCCACAUAUUGCAGAAUUAAUCCCAGAUGAAAACUGUAAGAAGAAACACAAGCACCAACUGAUCAAGGAACAGGAUGUUCUACACAUUUACCAACACCUGGAGAGAUGUUCAAUUGAAGAAAAAUAAAUUAUCCCAACCAGACUGUUGGAAGGCAAAUUCCAGACUAUUCCCACCUGCCUGCUGUACUCUUGCUGAUCAAUUAUCCUGUUGAACUGGAAGUGAACCUGCUGCAAAGGGUUAAGGUGGCUGCUCUGUCACACACAAGAUGUAUAGAAGUCUCCCCAGAGGAGAGAAGAGUAGCAAUGGCACUGAUGUCCAGCUCAGAAGCUGUCUGAUGGGGACCUUUUGAGUUCUUUUGUCCAAUAAAAGGUGUUAUCAGAGACUACUCCUUUAACAAGCCCUAAAAUGAUCAAGAAGGAUGUCCUGGGCACAAUACCUGUCUGACACAUCAAGUUUAUUGAUUUAGAUCACUUACUGCAAAACAAGGCAACCUCACAAAAAAGAUGCUAAUUCUUUGGUUUUAUAAGAGCCUUAAAAUGUGAAGCUCUUUGGCUUAUACCCUCAGAGGACAUCAAGGAGAGCAGAAGAGGUAAGGCUUACCAACAGCAAUUUUGUCUAUCCUGACACUGAGCUGUAAGUGCCACACUGCACAGCCCACAAUCUGUGGACACCAUUCUCUAUUUGGCUGCUUUGUUAAGAGCUUCAGUAGAAAAACCAUUUAGUGACACAGUAAUAGUUAAAUUGGAAUACCUGUGCUCUGCAAACAGCAUCCAGAAUGACCUGCCUUACAGAACUCACUAAACUUCCUUUAAAAAUUGGUUGUCACUACCAAUCUGGAGUAAUUUUGGAUUGCUGUCUGCUUUUACAGAUGCCCCAUUUGUCUGCCUGGAUGUACAGGUUAGGAGGUUGCAUAACUGACAUUGUUCAAAACUUUGCUUGUUGUACCUAGCAGGCAGAUUCUCUCCUCUGAUUUAAACUUCCAGAAAAUGAUUAGGUUAUCAUUUUGCCCCAGCACUUUGUUUUCAGGAAUUCUGUCCCUGGAAUUUGUGAGGAUUAUCUUGAUCUGGAAAGGAUUCCCCCUUCCCUCGUUGCUGCCUUGGGCACGUCCUGACAAGCUGUGGCAUUCUGUGAAUGUCUGAGAGCAAGCACAGCAGCAGGGCACUGACAGUGGGGACGUGUUCCCUCUGGGCCAGGACCAGCUCCAGCUCACCAGCUCACCUGGCCUUCUACCAUUUCUUUCAUUUUCUUUACAAAAUUAGCAUGAGCAGUUUGCUCCAAUGAAGAGUUUGCUUAGUGUGGAGUCUGAAGGCAUGAAUGGGCACCUGAUCAUCUUCCCUAUCAAAUUAGGAAGUCAAGAGCGUCCACAAGCCUCAGAGGAUGACUUUGGAUUCAUCAUCAUAACUUGCUGAAGAACAUCCUACCCUCACCAAAGCAGUGAUCAAACUGGGAACUUCCUAGAGCCAAACCCUCUGGCGAUGUGGAAUAUUUCCUCAUUUUGUCUACAACAAAGUAUAGUAUUGGAAUGGUUCCCUAAACAAACUUUAAAGUUUUUUUUUUAAUUUUCCAUUAAACAUAUCAAUAACAAAAAGAGUUAAUGUAAUCCUAAAUCUUAAUCCAAAUACCCCUGAAGUCAAGGGAAGCCUUUACUGAUAUAAUCCAUCCCAAGAACUGUUGGAGCUCGCAGAGUGGCCAUGCACUGGUUCUGAAUAGCUGUCAGACUUGUCACCAAGUGCACUGGAUACAAAUUGGGGGUUUUCCCCAAGAAAAGACAUUAUAAUUCUUCACUGGGUCAUUGCAUCCCCAAUCAGAGACAAUUUCAUUUGCAGGUAUCAGGGGCUACAUCUCUAACCUGUGUGAAGUGGCCAAAAUUACUGUUCCAUCAAUGCUGAAAGUGAAACCUUGAGGUCAGUGGCUGCCUGGCAGACCUGAGUUACCCUCCAAGCUCUGCAGAACUUGGCAUCUCCAUUUCACAGAACUUUCGUGCUCUUCUGAAUGGGACUGAGCUCCCAGAGACCAAACAGGGAAGUAAAUUGCAUUAGAUUGAAUUAGUGGGUUUGGACACACCUGUUACUCAUGUUAAAGUGCAAUAAAUGCCCCAUUGAUUCUCUGUCUU